rnacentral:rRNA from 1 species
UACGGGGGGGGCAAGCGUUGUUCGGAAUUACUGGGCGUAAAGGGCUCGUAGGCGGCCAACUAAGUCGGACGUGAAAUCCCCAGGCUCAACUUGGGAACUGCGUCUGAUACUGGAUGGCUUGAAUUCGGGAGAGGGAUGCGAAUUCCAGGUGUAGCGGUGAAAUGCGUGGAUAUCUGGAGGAAUACCGGUGGCGAAGGCGGCAUCCUGGACCGAGAUUGACACUGAUGAGCGAAAGCUAGGGGAGCAAACGGG